CCUACGGGGGGCAGCAGUGAGGAAUAUUGGUCAAUGGGCGCGAGCCUGAACCAGCCAAGUCGCGUGAGGGAUGAAGGUUCUAUGGAUCGUAAACCUCUUUUAUAAGGGAAGAAUAAAUGCUACGUGUAGCAUGAUGCCUGUACCUUAUGAAUAAGCAUCGGCUAACUCCGUGCCAGCAGCCGCGGUAAUACGGAGGAUGCGAGCGUUAUCCGGAUUUAUUGGGUUUAAAGGGUGCGUAGGCGGUUUUUUAAGUUAGUGGUUAAACGUCGGGGCUUCACCUUGAUUUGCCAUUAAUACUGUAAGACUCGAGUUCAGACGAGGUAGGCGGAAUAAGUUAAGUAGCGGUGAAAUGCUUAGAUAUAACUUAGAACUCCGAUAGCGAAGGCAGCUUACCAGACUGCGACUGACGCUGAAGCACGAGAGCGUGGGUAGCGAACAGGAUUAGAUACCCCUGUAGUC
rnacentral:rRNA from 1 species